rnacentral:rRNA from 1 species
CCUACGGGCGGCAGCAGUGAGGAAUAUUGGUCAAUGGGCGUGAGCCUGAACCAGCCAAGUAGCGUGAAGGAUGACGGCCCUAUGGGUUGUAAACUGCUUUUAUGCGGGAAUAAAGUGAGGCACGUGUGCCUUUUUGUAUGUACCUUAUGAAUAAGGAUCGGCUAACUCCGUGCCAGCAGCCGCGGUAAUACGGAGGAUCCGAGCGUUAUCCGGAUUUAUUGGGUUUAAAGGGAGCGUAGGUGGGUUGUUAAGUCAGCGGUGAAAGUCUGUGGCUCAACCAUAAAAUUGCAGUUGAUACUGGCUGUCUUGAGUACAGUGGAGGUAGGCGGAAUUCGUGGUGUAGCGGUGAAAUGCUUAGAUAGCACGAAGAACUCCGAUUGCGAAGGCAGCUUACUAAAGCGCUACUGACACUGAAGCUCGAAAGCGUGGGUAUCAAACAGGAUUAGAUACCCGUGUAGUC